AACGAACGCUGGCGGCAUGCCUAACACAUGCAAGUCGAACGAUACCUUCGGGUCGAGUGGCGCACGGGUGCGUAACGCGGGGUAACCUGCCCUUAGGUUCGGAAUAACUCCCCGAAAGGGGUGCUAAUAUCGGCUAAUGUCUUCGGACCAAAGAUUUAUCGCCUUUGGAUGGGCCCGCGUUGGAUUAGCUAGUUGGUAGUGUAAAAGCCUACCAAGGCUACGAUCCAUAGCUGGUCUGAGAGGAUGAUCAGCCACACUGGGACUGAGACACGGCCCAGACUCCUACGGGAGGCAGCAGUGGGGAAUAUUGGACAAUGGGCGAAAGCAUGAUCCAGCAAUGCCGCGUGAGUGAUGAAGGCCUUAGGGUUGUAAAGCUCUUUUACCCGGGAUGAUAAUGACAGUACCGGGAGAAUAAGCACCGGCUAACUCCGUG
rnacentral:rRNA from 1 species